GCUUACGGCCAUACCUACCUUAGGCACGCCCGAUCUCGUCUGAUCUCGGAAGCUAAGCAGGGUCGGGCCUGGUUAGUUACUUGGAUGGGUGACCGUCUGGGAAUACCAGGUGCUGUAAGCA
rnacentral:rRNA from 1 species